CCCGCAGUACUGGACCCGAGCGCGACGGCGCGGCUGGCGGACCUGGGCUGGCUUGUGGGGAAACGAAACUGAGGGAGGAGGCGGCGGCUCUGGCAGCGGCGGCGACAGUGUCGGCCUGACCACCCCCCUCCGCUCCCCGGCAGCUCGCUCUUUCCCCUCAGCUUAAUGAUGAAGAGGAGAACUGACCCAGAAUGCACUGCCCCCAUCAAGAAACAGAAAAAAAGAGUUGCAGAGCUUGCCCUGAGCCUCAGCUCCACUUCCGACGAUGAACCUCCCUCCUCUGUCAGUCAUGGAGCAAAAGCAUCUACUACAAGCCUUAGUGGGUCUGAUAGUGAGACCGAGGGGAAACAACACAGCUCUGACUCUUUUGAUGAUGCAUUCAAAGCAGACUCCCUUGUGGAGGGAACUUCUUCUCGCUAUUCCAUGUAUAAUAGCGUCUCCCAGAAGCUUAUGGCCAAGAUGGGCUUCAGGGAAGGUGAAGGAUUGGGUAAAUACAGCCAGGGUCGGAAGGACAUCGUUGAGGCUUCCAGUCAGAAAGGUCGAAGAGGCUUGGGUCUGACACUCCGGGGCUUUGACCAGGAACUGAACGUGGACUGGCGAGAUGAGCCAGAGCCCAGUGCCUGUGAGCAGGUGUCAUGGUUUCCAGAAUGUACUACUGAAAUUCCUGACACUCAGGAAAUGAGCGAUUGGAUGGUCGUGGGAAAGAGAAAGAUGAUUAUUGAAGAUGAAACAGAGUUUUGUGGGGAAGAGCUGCUUCAUAGUGUGUUGCAGUGUAAGAGCGUGUUUGAUGUCCUGGAUGGGGAAGAGAUGCGGCGAGCUCGGACUCGGGCCAAUCCCUACGAGAUGAUCCGAGGAGUCUUCUUUCUAAACAGGGCAGCAAUGAAGAUGGCUAACAUGGAUUUUGUGUUUGAUCGCAUGUUCACAAAUCCGCGGGACUCUUAUGGGAAGCCACUGGUGAAGGACCGGGAAGCUGAGCUUCUUUACUUUGCCGACGUCUGUGCAGGCCCAGGUGGCUUCUCAGAGUAUGUGCUGUGGAGGAAGAAGUGGCAUGCAAAGGGCUUUGGAAUGACUUUGAAGGGCCCUAAUGACUUCAAGCUGGAGGACUUCUACUCUGCUUCCAGUGAACUCUUCGAACCCUAUUAUGGUGAGGGUGGGAUUGAUGGAGAUGGAGAUAUCACCCGCCCAGAGAACAUCUCUGCUUUUCGGAAUUUUGUCCUGGAUAACACAGAUCGCAAGGGUGUCCACUUUCUGAUGGCUGAUGGGGGUUUCUCGGUGGAGGGGCAGGAGAACCUGCAGGAGAUCCUCAGCAAGCAGCUGCUUCUGUGUCAGUUCCUCAUGGCGCUGUCCAUUGUCCGGACAGGAGGCCACUUCAUCUGUAAAACCUUUGACCUGUUCACACCGUUUAGUGUGGGGCUUGUCUACCUGCUGUACUGCUGCUUUGAACGAGUUUGUCUCUUCAAGCCUAUUACCAGCCGUCCUGCCAACUCAGAGAGGUAUGUGGUGUGCAAGGGCCUGAAGGUGGGCAUAGAUGACGUUCGGGAUUACCUCUUCGCAGUGAAUAUUAAACUCAAUCAGCUGCGGAACACUGAUUCCGACGUCAACUUGGUGGUCCCCCUGGAGGUGAUCAAGGGAGACCAUGAAUUUACUGACUACAUGAUACGGUCCAAUGAGAGCCACUGUGGUCUGCAGAUCAAAGCUCUGGCAAAAAUCCAUGCCUUUGUUCAAGACACGACACUGAGUGAGCCUCGACAGGCAGAGAUCCGGAAGGAGUGCCUCCGACUCUGGGGGAUCCCAGACCAGGCUCGUGUGGCUCCUUCUUCCUCUGACCCCAAAUCAAAGUUCUUUGAGCUAAUCCAGGGCACUGAGAUUGACAUCUUCAGCUACAAGCCCACACUGCUCACCUCUAAAACCCUGGAGAAGAUCCGCCCUGUGUUUGACUACCGCUGCAUGGUGUCUGGCAGUGAGCAGAAGUUCCUCAUCGGCCUGGGGAAAUCCCAGAUCUACACGUGGGAUGGCCGCCAGUCAGACCGCUGGAUCAAGCUAGACCUGAAGACAGAGCUGCCUCGGGACACUCUGCUAUCUGUGGAAAUUGUGCAUGAGCUGAAAGGGGAGGGGAAGGCCCAGCGGAAGAUCAGUGCCAUCCACAUCCUCGAUGUCCUUGUGCUGAAUGGCACCGAUGUUCGGGAGCAGCACUUUAACCAGCGGUCUGACCUGGGCCCCAGGAAUUCAGCUUGCCGAGAAAUUUGUGAAAGCCGUUUCCAAGCCCAGUCGGCCUGACAUGAAUCCCAUCAGGGUGAAGGAGGUGUACAGACUGGAAGAGAUGGAGAAGAUUUUUGUCAGGUUGGAGAUGAAGAUCAUCAAGGGCUCCAGUGGCACCCCAAAGCUCAGCUACACAGGGCGUGAUGACCGGCACUUUGUACCCAUGGGCCUCUACAUCGUCAGGACAGUGAAUGAGCCCUGGACUAUGGGAUUCAGCAAAAGCUUCAAGAAGAAAUUCUUCUACAACAAGAAAACCAAGGACUCUACUUUUGACCUCCCCGCAGACUCCAUUGCCCCAUUUCACAUCUGCUACUAUGGCCGGCUCUUCUGGGAGUGGGGGGAUGGCAUUCGUGUGCAUGACUCCCAGAAGCCCCAGGACCAGGACAAGCUGUCCAAGGAGGAUGUCCUCUCCUUCAUCCAGAUGCACAGGGCCUAAGAGCCUCAGGAUGCGCCACCCCUGCAGAAUGCCCUGUUAUUCCUGAGACGGGGCCACUUGGGGCCCAUAGUGCUGGCUUCUUCCCCCUCUGGAAGGGACUGGGGAGCACUGUACCUGGCAUGAGGAGUGGGUGGCCUCCUCCCCAUCCCCCUGAAGAGCUCAGGCAGGGCCCUGCAGAGAACACUCCCACGUUCCUUCUGGGACACCUGCCUGGGAACUUCCACCUGCCAGGACUCAGCCUGAAGGAAGCUGCUCCUGAGGCAGGUAUGAGGUCAGUGCCUAGGGCACGUGGGGCCGAUGGAGGACGUGUCAGAGUGGCAGAGCUGUGGGCUCUGCUGUUCUCUCCUGCAUCCUGUAGACUCACUUUUCUGAGUUCCAUGCACUGCCCUGAGGGUAGCCAUGCCCUUGCUUUGCCCAACUUUUUAUUGGGCCAUCCCUGAGUGGGUGGAGACCUGCUGUCGUGAGCUGGCCAGGAGAACCUGCUAUAAAAAAUCACGGUUUUGUUUCUUUGAACUUACUGUUUUGAGGCCAAGUUGGAGACUGAUUUUCUUGUCUCCUUCCCCCAUUCAUCCUGGCCUUGCCUGAAGUUCUUCCUAGCUCAGAGGUCUGACAGUCCAGCAGGGUGGGAAGGAGGGAGUGUGGGCCAUCCGUCCCCUGAUACCACAUUGAGAUCCUGGGAGCCCUCUCUUUCGUACUGAGUAUGGAGUUGUAGAGCCAUCCUAGGUCCCAUCCCCUCUUGGUCCAAACACUGGGCAGCGCUAGAUGGCAGGAAGCAGCCUCCAAGACCUCUCUUUCUCUCCCCCACAGCAGCAGUGGCCCCACCAGUAACCAAGGGUACCUCCAGGGGUUUGGGUAGCGCUGCCCUCUGGCAGUCAUGCACCACUGUCUGCCAUAGCCGCUCUAGGGUCUUGACAGAAUUCUGAGCUGGAAGUGCAGCUCCCUUGCUACCCCUUCCCUUCCUUUUUCUUCCCUGAUAGGAGGUACAAUCUGCUUUUGUUUGUCAUUAUGUGGUCACUCCCAUUUCCUUUAUCUUGUCCGACAACGCUGAGAGGAGGGGGAGCUGGGCCAUAGCUUGGGGUGGGGGAGGGCACCUGUGGUUGUUUUUAAUGGGAAAUACCUCUCAGAGAUGUUCAUGCAGGCUCCCUAGGGCCCCAUCCCAGUGCCAGGCUGGUUUCCAUGGAGAUAGGGCACUGAGGCUCCCGUGAGGUUGGAAUCGACUUCACCAUGGGGGUCCUUCAGCCAGCAUCCAGCUCCCCACCCCCAGGCUGGCAGCAGCACAGCUGAGAUGCUAUAUUUCCACCCAAUUCUGGGUAUAUCAGUGUGUCUUGCAGAAUCUUGGAUCAUUAAAGAUAAACAUAUUUUUAA